UACGUAGGUGGCAAGCGUUGUCCGGAAUUAUUGGGCGUAAAGCGCGCGCAGGCGGUCCCUUAAGUCUGAUGUAAAAGCCCACGGCUCAACCGUGGAGGGUCAUUGGAAACUGGGGGACUUGAGUACAGAAGAGGAAAGCGGAAUUCCACGUGUAGCGGUGAAAUGCGUAGAGAUGUGGAGGAACACCAGUGGCGAAGGCGGCUUUCUGGUCUGUAACUGACGCUGAGGCACGAAGGCCAGGGGAGCAAACGGG
rnacentral:rRNA from 1 species